rnacentral:rRNA from 1 species
AUGUUCAGCCAAUUCGACCAUGUCAAAUGCAGUUUUGCGUGGAAGGGAGCUGGUAUAUUUGUAAUUGAUAUGUAUGAUGGCACGUCUUCUGAAUGCAAGCUUCGUCUCGAUAGGAGAUCCUCCAGCUUCAGUGUGUUGAAGUCUGACGGAUUGGAGAAUCAGAUGGUAGUCGCUGGAGAGGCAAGGAACUCCCAUGCUUGCAGCGAUGCACUUGGUGGGCAUUCCUUGCAUUUUUCCCGUAGAAUCACACGGUACAUGUAUUUAAUUAUAGCAAAGUCACCAUGUCUUUAUCAUGCCAGUAUGCCAAUGUGCCCAGAAAUUAGAUAUCAGAGGGAAGUUAGCAAGUCACCAGCUCUGAAAGCAUACCAAAUAUUUCAGUUUUUAGGCCACUUCUCAAUUUUGAAGAGCUACUCCUUUGAACUAGAUAUGUGA